GAAUUGCUAGUAAUGGCAGGUCAGCAUACUGCCGUGAAUACGUUCCCGGGCCUUGUACACACCGCCCGUCACACCAUGAGAGUUGGAGAUACCCGAAGCCUAUGAGCUAACUUUUAGAGGCAGUAGUCGAAGGUAGAAUCAAUGAUUGGGGUGAAGUCGUAACAAGGUACC
rnacentral:rRNA from 1 species